CCCCUCUGGUCCCGUCCCCCGCGAGGAGACCGCCUCCUGAUUGGCCGCUCCAGCGCCAGGCAGGAUGGGAUUGGACCCAAAUAUGGGCGGGAGGAGACGGACGAGGCGCUGGGUCCCCUCUGGAGGUAGACGGAACCCCGGGACGGGGAGAGGCCAGAGAGUGUUGGUUUGGAUUCCUGAGGAAUUUCCAGUGAAAGAGAAAUGGAGAAACAAGACACUUUCAGAUCAUGUCGUAUCUUGUACAUUAAAAUAAGGCCACGUGUUCCAUGUAUUGAUCUGGGUGUUUGAGAAGAAGGAAACACAGGAAUAAGAAUUUGGCAUUUGUUAUUACCGUAACUUCUUUUUUCUCAUUUUAAAAGUAAUGAAUGCCCACUAAUGGGGGCUUAGAAAUACAAAAUAAUAUGUAAAAUAAACAGUUAUCCAAGGAUGGUAAUAAACAGAGAUCUUUCUUGCUGAUA